CGAAAGGGGGCCGCUGGCUCUUUAAGACUGUGGGAAAGAGGGCAUUUCUGCACUGAAACAGCCCCAUUUUCACACAUUCCUGAGAACGGCAUAUUGAGCUCAUUAUCAUAGCUAACUACAAUGGCUCUUUGUGCAGGAUAUGGGAUUUGGGAAGGUGCCAGAUAUCCUUGGGUGCAUGUGUAGCUGAACAUGUGUGAGUGUUGCUUCACUGUGUCUGCUGCGUGUGGAAUGACACAUUAGGAAUGAAUUCAGUAAUAUCCAUUUUGCAUUGUCCUGCUUUACAAGAUUAAAAUGAAUUCACUUCAAAGCACUGAUCUAUUGUUCUCAUCAGAAAAUCGCAUUGUGUAUAACUCUAAGCUAACAGUUAAACAUUAUGACAAUCAGGCCUUUGUGGGGAUUUUUGAAAGUAAAAAAGCUUUGAAUUAAUAAAAAUACCUUUACCUUCACUUUUAGCUGCAGCUCAUUAAUCAAGAUGCAUCAGAACUAUGCACUGAGAUACGACUAAGCUAAGAUACUGUAAGAGCUUUGCAGGCUUUGCAGACACACCCUGCGUUUUGUAGCUUCUGAUGCCUUUCUAGAUGACAACCUUCCUCUUCUCCCCGUCGGAGAAGCACUUGAAGCACGGCAACGUGUUAAUCUUUUGUGUUCACAGAAUCAUUAGCGCUGCCUGCGUCUGCAGCCCCAGUGUGAGUGCACGUGUAAUGUGGCAGGUACGCUCGACUCCACGGCUGUGUGUUGGGGGGGGGGGGGGGGUAAUAUUGUGUUACACAGGAACACAUUAGCAGCCAGCCACUCUGAGGGUGGCGUGCUCAUUUCCUACCAGGAUGCUCCCAGCCGCCACGCUGAUCGAGGCCGACGUCGCCACGACACACGCGCAGCAGCAGCAGCAGCAGCAGCAGCCGAGCAGGGGGAAACAGAACAUUUGCCGCGACAAAACUGGUGACAGCAGCACAAUCAAUUGGAAUGUUCCUCCUCCUGCCGCCAGCGGAGGCUCAUGAAAAAGAUGCAGCGUGAGGCCAUUGUGUUUCUGUACGUUUUCCCAUUAACCGAGUGACUAAGGGGGACCCCUGCACGUGACCCCUGAACAUACUGUAUCACCCCUUCUAGACCGCUGCCUUCAGCUCCCGCACCACAUGUGACCACGCAGAAAGCGAGGUCCUCCUCCACUGCUGGGAAAAAGGUUAAAAGAGACUGUCUUUCAUCAGCUCAUCAUUCUCAUCUGGCGCUGCAUAAUUUAUGAGCUUGUUACUGUAAUCAAAAAUUCCACUUUAUUUUAUUUAUCUUUUCCCGCUAUUUGGAUGGGGCGUGGUGCGGAUGGGAGACGCACAGUGGAGGCAGCGCCGGUUCCCGUGAGCCUGAGCCUUUUCAUGUGAAAUGAGAUACUGCUGUGAUGUCCCUCGGCCUCGUACCUGGGUGCUCGAUGAUCACCUUCAUCAUCCUCGGUGGCGGUCGCAGCACCAUCUACAGUGCUUGAAGGCUGAAUUGCAAAUAGUGACACUUAGCCACGCUGAGCUGUGGAGUGGAACUAUGCUUCCAAGCCACAGGGUGUCCUUCUUAGCCUCGCUGGUGGGAUCCUGGGCUUCUCUGAUGAUGGGGUGCAACUGCGGCUUCUGGGGAGUGUCUGGAAUGAGUGCCAUCUUCCUGCGGUGCUCCGCAGAGGCCUGGUGACGGGAAGAGAGGAGACGUUUCCUUGUUUGGAGCCAGCCAUUGGUUGACACGGGAGGACAUGGGGAGAGAGGGAGGAGGGUGAUGGGAAUGGCUUCCUCUCUCCUCCACCGCCCAGCAGCUCUGGCAUAUCACCAGCCUUAUGGUGGUAAUUGAUUCUCUCUGUGCCAUUAGUCUAUGAGACAAAGAUGCUCCAAAGAGAGGGAGGCGCUGUCACUUACAGGCUGGCACGGCGCCCGGCCACGCGCUCUCAGCGCGCGGCUAGAUGCAUGCGAAGACACACGUCCCUUUGCAGGCGCGCGCGCAGUUAGAUUCCUCGCACAGAUGCAAAGUAGCGCUGGUAUGAUGUCAGCUGUCAAAGUCUGCCCAAGCAGGAGCAUUGCUCAUUUGCAAAUGAGCCACACAGCACAAACAUAGUUAACGCACAACUGUACACGCGCAAUAAAAUCGAAGCGAAUACGAGAGACGUGUGAUUACGUCUGACAUCCUGCUCUUACGCAUGACAUUAUUCCGCUUGUGUUAUGUUUGCGAGGUUCCUGUGGUCGCGGCGCAGCUGCAUUCCUCCGAGAGACGCACACAAAUUUACACACUCGAAUAUAAGAGAGGUCCCCAGACAAAGAGCAGGGCAUGUCUUUAUCUCAUUAAAGUUAACGAGAGGCUGCUGUCGUCUGUCUGCAGACCGGCAGUAAUCUGAUACAGAAGCCUGCUCAGUGGGCAUCAGGCCUCAUCGCUGGCGAUAGCGCCCAUCAGACAGAACCCGCUUUGGUGGUGGCCGUUUUCACCAGCGCGUUAAUGGGCGUUGCGGGUGUCAUCGUGUCUUCACUGUAGACGCGUGAAUACCAAACACCGUACGCCGUCACCAUGGCGAUUGGGUUUUGUCAUUCUCUGCGAUGCCGUUUCCCAUCACCAUGGUCACGGCAGCGGUACCUGCUUUACAGUGAGGGAGAGAAGGAACAAAAGCAGGUAGAGCCCAACACACACACACACACGCAUGCACACACACACACACUGAAUACUAAUUAAGCACUGCAGACAAUAGCCCCUCAAAGCCAGUUAUGAGCUAAUUACCCAACAUAUAGUGUACAACCUAAGAUCACUCAGAUCAGUCGGCCCUCAGGUGCUACAAGAUGCUUGAUAAGUGUUUUUGCACGGCUCUAAAGUCAACUGUGCAUGUAGGGACUGGUAUAAAGAAGAGGUGGAGCAAACGGGUUCGCUCCCCUCAGUCACUCCAGCACAGUUAAACCAGCUUUGUCUAACUUUAUUCCUCUCACCUCUCAAGGCUCACUGCUACUUGGAUGCUCAUUUGGAGGCUGAUUAAUUGGAGCCUCUAUGGUUCUUUCUUUUUUUUUUUCUUCUAUUUUUGUUUGGCUGUUGACCGACGUGUGGUCCUCUCACGCGCUCGUCUCCAGGUCGACGUGGCUCCCUAAUUAAGACUCCAGAGGAUGGCUAAUUGCUGUUGCGUGCCUCUCGGCGGAGCAAGGGAGCCUUCUCCCGGCGCUGCCCAGAAAGAGCGCCCCGGCGCUGAAUUAAAGGGGCUUAUGUAAGCUUGCGGUGAAACUAUUAAACACCAAGCAACUUUUCCUUGUGAGGAACUGCCACUUGAUUUAAUGGGCCUCAUUAAAAGUGCACAUCACAGAGAUCUAAACCACUCGUUCCAGCUUCAUACGACAAUGGGAUAAUGGUUCCUCCUCCACGCUGUCAAAGCCUAAUCCUAAAUAUUGAACGGCGCUAUUGCCUCGGCGGAACGAUCCAAAAUGGGCUGCAGCGUCCUUAAGAGGAAGGAUUCACAUCAUUUGUCUUUUUUGACAAGGGGGCAGAGAGGAUGGAAUAGAUGGCACAGAGCUGGCUGUUGGUUAUUGGGAGAGGUAAGUGGAGAGAUGUGGCGCUGAAUGAAAGCAGAUCCUGUAUCAAGCCCCAGUAAAGAUUUUUAUUCCCUUUUCUAAAUAUCACCUAAACAACAGAUAAAUGUUGGCAUCGAGAUUUGAAUGAAUGAAAGUGCUCCAUUAUUAUGCACGCGAUACAUAUAGAAACAGUAAAAUCAUCACAAUACUCCAUGUCUCUGCAGUACAGUGCAGCUGCGCUUUGGAACUGUACUACCACUGUACAAGCAUGAACGAUCAAGUCAGGAGCAUCCUACAGUGUGGCCAAUGAGAAGCUAGAGGAGAACCCGCUACGGCGUUCAGACCGGAAGAGUGAGACCUUACACGUUAAGGUUAGAGUCUGCAGUCCGAUGCGCUCCCUCAGAUCCAAAGCUCACCGUGAGCAGUGAGCGAACGGCUGCUGAAGCUGCUAAAUGGACCAACUGGCGUCCUAUCACCUCCAAUAUACGAGCAGUGCAAACCUAAGCACUAACGAAGAGGGGUAUCAAAUGAAAAUGACCUGACAGGAACAGGAAGUGAAACAAAAAACAUCUGACAUGACUGAACAAAUGCGCCUCCAGAAGGCCGGCAGCUCAAGCCCUUAACCAUUAGAGGUUUCCUCACUAUUUGGGCUAGUUUUUACCUACAGAUCACAAAGUAUUAACUUGUUGUUGCAGAGGUUACUGUAUUUCUACUUCCAAAGGUACGGCUUCUUCUUGGAGAACCGUUUCUAACCUCUAACCUUCUAAUGACCUCCUCUCAUAUGUUGUUUCAUAUAGACACUUGCAAUGUGUCCAAAUCAGAGGGCAAAGACAGAGGUAAGUGCAGUGAAAGAAAGUCUAGACUGUUUAAAUAAAGAAUCAUAACUCUAACAAUUACUUAACGGGGACAAUUAAGACCCAAGCGUAGCAAAGACCACCACCACAAUGGGUGUUUCAGUAGAUACCCUUGAAACAUUCCUUCACUUCAAACGCCGAACUUGUGCCUCUCACAGAAAGAAAAGCUCCAAGGGAAGAAAGAGACGUAGAAAAAACAAAAACAAAUCAGAAGUAGAAGCUGGAAAUGAGUCCAACUCAUGCAUAACUUCAAACACUCCAUCUUCAAAGUUGCAUAGCAUUAAAAAACCGAGCCCACUCCGAGUUCUGCACAUCAAACCCCAGCCAGCAUCGAGGGGACACUACUGAGCCAUGCCCUCAG